CUGCCAGACUCCUACGGGAGGCAGCAGUAGGGAAUCUUUCACAAUGGGCGAAAGCCUGAUGGAGCAACGCCGCGUGAAGGAAGAAGGCUUUCGGGUUGUAAACUUCUUUUCUCAGGGACGAAUAGAUGACGGUACCUGAGGAAUAAGCCACGGCUAACUACGUGCCAGCAGCCGCGGUAAUACGUAGGUGGCAAGCGUUAUCCGGAUUUACUGGGUGUAAAGGGCGUGUAGGCGGGGACGCAAGUCAGAUGUGAAAACCACGGGCUCAACCUGUGGCCUGCAUUUGAAACUGUGUUUCUUGAGUACUGGAGAGGCAGACGGAAUUCCUAGUGUAGCGGUGAAAUGCGUAGAUAUUAGGAGGAACACCAGUGGCGAAGGCGGUCUGCUGGACAGCAACUGACGCUGAGGCGCGAAAGCGUGGGGAGCAAACAGGAUUAGAUACCCUUGUA
rnacentral:rRNA from 1 species